UAAAUAAGAUGGACCCAGCAAUGU
rnacentral:piRNA from 1 species